ACUAUGGACUGCUCAGCUGAAGAAACACAAGAACUAAUGCAACCUCUUUGUUCUACCUGUCUGUAAGGCCCUUUUCAGUUGCAUGUGCUGUGAGGCUUUCUGGAGGGGCACAUGAACCUUCUGAAAUGGGAAUGGAGCGGAGGAACUUUGGAAGGCACACGCACAGGCUGUUUUCUUCCUGCUCAUGGACCGCUCCCAGCUAAUGCCUUAUACCACAGCAGAGUGAAUGGAAAAGCGACAGUAAAGGGGAUGUAAUGAGAAUGAACCAUUUCCUCCAAAAUAAGCACAGUAUAUGGGAUUUUUACUUCUUGAGCAAGUAACAGGAUGAGACUAAAUUUGACUGAGAGUGGUACCAGGGCCACAUGCUCAAGCUUCUCUUCCCAGCAUGCAUUGUGCAGCUCCUGGGCAGGCAAGGCUCCAGAGAAAUCCCCAGGCUUGCCAUCCUCCUCCUCUUCCUCAUCAUCAUCAUCAUCAUCAUCAUCAUCAUCACCACCACCACCACCACCACUCAAACACGCAAACACUAAAAGGACAUUGUAUUCACUGUAGAGCAAAAGUUUUCUCUGCACCCUUUCACUUGCAAAACAUGCUGCAUUAUGGCAGUCUGUACGUCUUUAUGGGGUAUGCAAAUUGUUCCCAUCCCGCAGGCUGGUUGCAAGUGCAGACUUCACUGCACACACACGCAGCGCCAAUUAAUUGGGCAUUCAAACAGUGAUGUGCUGCCCAGGCACUGGCACAGAGAGGCUGCAUGUUGACAUCCAGUCGAGUGUGCCCUCAUCCCCUCAGUCGACUAGCCCGGCGGCUCUGUUAAG